rnacentral:rRNA from 1 species
AGGACGAACGCUGGUGGCGUGCUUAACACAUGCAAGUCGAGCGGAAAGGCCCUUCGGGGUACUCGAGCGGCGAACGGGUGAGUAACACGUGAGCAACCUGCCCUUAGCUUCGGGAUAGCUCCGGGAAACCGGAAUUAAUACCGAAUAUGACUUUGGCUGACAUCAGCAGAAGUGGAAAGUUUUUCGGCUAGGGAUGGACUCGCGGCCUAUCAGCUAGUUGGUGAGGUAACGGCCCACCAAGGCGACGACGGGUAGCCGGCCUGAGAGGGCGACCGGCCACACUGGGACUGAGACACGGCCCAGACUCCUACGGGAGGCAGCAGUGGGGAAUAUUGCGCAAUGGGGCGAAAGCCUGACGCAGCGACGCCGCGUGGGGGAUGAAUGCCUUCGGGUUGUAACCCCUUUCAGCAGGGACGAAGCGAAAGUGACGGUACCUGCAGAAGAGCGCCGGCUAACUACGUGCCAGCAGCCGC